UACGUAGGGUGCGAGCGUUAAUCGGAAUUACUGGGCGUAAAGCGUGCGCAGGCGGUUUGUUAAGACAGGCGUGAAAUCCCCGGGCUCAACCUGGGAACUGCGCUUGUGACUGGCAGGCUAGAGUACGGCAGAGGGGGGUGGAAUUCCACGUGUAGCAGUGAAAUGCGCAGAUAUCGGGAAGAACACCCGUGGCGAAGGCGGCUCUCUGGGACGGUACUGACGCUGAGACGCGAAAGCGUGGGGAGCGAACAGG
rnacentral:rRNA from 1 species